UUCACACCACGCACUCAGUGCAGAUUAGAGUCCAAUCGCAGCUCCGACUUCAUCGCAGCUCCGACUUCAUCGCUCAGGCAGGUUGAUGAUGGGCACCCACUGGUCCAUGCAGCGGCUUUCUCUGCAGAAUCGGUUCACUUUGCUCAAAGCAGGAUCCUUCCAUGAUGAAGAGUGUGGGCUCUGAAGAUAUAAAGACAAGAUAAUCUAUUAAUAAAUGCAAAGAAAUCCAUUCAUGUCGGUGUACACUGCCCUCCAUAACAAAUAACAUCUGAGUGUGUAAACAUGCAGAUUACUUUCUACUGAAAUUCCAAAGAAGUCAUGUGAGGGUGGAGCUACAAACGUCUAACAAAUGCACAAGAACAAGUACAGACAAGUUCUUCUUGAAAAAUAGUUUCACUCGUGUGUGAGAUCUUGUAUAAAAUCACUAUAUUAAAAGUUCAAUUAAGGUUUAAUGCAUGUAUAAUUGAUAAAAAAAAAUAUGACUUACUGUGACAAGGACACAGUGUAGGUCCAUAGGUUCACCCCCACUCUGUUUUCCACUGCUGCCUCCACCCAGUAUUUCAGCCAGGCGCCUGAUGUUGUUGACUCUUAGGAUGUUGAUGUCAUUCUCACAGCAGAAAGCCUGAAUGAGGGUGAAGUGGAUCUGCAGGGCCACAUCUUUGACGUCUUCAUCAUCAGUAGCCAGGAUGCACAGAACCACGUUAUCAGGGUCUCUAAGGAGGAAGGAAAACAAAUAUACUCUGUUCUUGGAAUUAUGAAAACACAACCCAGUUUGGAGCAGUGAGCACUGGAGGCAGUUGACUUAUCAUAAUGGAGCCAGGAGGUCAUCCAGAGAAAGAAGUAAUGAAAGAUGACAACAAUCCACAUCUCCCUCCUCCAAAGUGUGAAAAGAGAGGCCAGUGGGCCAACAAGAGAGAGUUUCUGCUGGCAGUAGUUGGACAAGUCAUUGGUCUGGGCAACGUUUGGAGAUUUCCAUACCUCUGCUUCAAAAAUGGAGGAGGAGUCUUCUUGGUCCCGUAUGUUUUCUUUUUGUUCACUUUUGGGAUCCCCACCUUCUUCCUGGAGCUUUCCCUGGGACAGUUAACUGGUCAAGGUGGAAUCACAUGUUGGAGGAAAAUAUGUCCUUUAUUUGAAGGUCUGGGCUACGGCUGCAUGGUGCUGAUGCUUUACACUUUGAUGUAUUAUAUCGUCAUUCUGGCCUGGGCCUUCCUCUACCUCUUCUCCACCUUCCAUGAUGUCCUGCCCUGGGCUAGCUGUAACAACACCUGGAACACAGAGGACUGUGUGAAUAAUCAGCUGGGUCAUCCAUCAUAUGUCAACAUUUCCCAGAAUGCAAUGUCUUCAGUUGAAGAAUUCUGGCAGAGGCGAGUCCUGGGUUUGUCUGGAGGAAUAGAAGAGAUGGGUGAUAUGCGCUGGGACCUGGCUGGAUGUCUCCUGCUGAGCUGGAUUAUCUGUUAUUUCUGUAUUUGGAAAGGAGUCAAGUCUGCAGGGAAAGUUGUCUACUUCACAGCCACAUUUCCUUACGUAAUGAUGACUGCUUUGCUGAUCCGGGGUGUGACACUGCCAGGAGCCACAAAUGGCAUUCGUUUUUACCUUUCUCCUGACCCAUCUCGUCUGGCUGAUCCUCAGGUGUGGAUGGAUGCCGGGAGCCAGAUUUUAUUCUCCUAUGCUGUAUGCACAGGCUGUACAGCAUCCAUGGGAAGCUACAACAAACACAACAACAACUGCUACAAAGACGCCUUUGCCUUGUGCCUUUUGAACAGUGCCACCAGCUUCUUUGCUGGAUUUGCAAUAUUCUCUGUCCUUGGCUUCAUGUCGUAUGAGCUGGAUGUCGACAUCUCAACAGUGGCUGAAUCAGGUCCUGGCCUGGCCUUCAUUGCAUACCCUCGGGCAGUAGCCAUGAUGCCUCUACCCCAACUUUGGGCUGCCUUCUUCUUCAUCAUGAUAAUCUUCCUUGGGCUGGACAGUCAGUUUGUUUAUCUGGAAGCGCUGGUUACCUCCAUAUCAGACUUAUAUCCAUCCUUCUUUUACGUUGGUCACAGACGUAAACUACUCCUGCUGCUCUCCUGUGCUGUGUGUUUCCUCGUUGGACUCUUCAUGGUCACUGAGGGAGGACUGUAUGUGUUCCAGCUCUUUGACUACUACGCCUGCAGUGGAAUCCCUCUGAUAAGUUUUGCUAUUUUGGAGUCAGUGUGUGUCGGAUGGGCAUAUGGUCAAGGGAGCAGCAAACCUGAAGGCCUUUUCCCCAAGUUCAGUAAUGACCCUUGGAACAGAUAAUAUUAAAAGAUCCUGAAAUCGAAGAUUAUGACUUCCUGAGUUCUUUUGGGCAAUAUAUGCAAGGAGGUAAGAGGGAAGUAGUCCUAGGAUGCAUUUAUAAAUAAGAAGAUGCCAAUGUUUUUGCCUGUGAGACGACAGGGAGGACCAUCCUACUCUCGAGUACAGCACACAGUGAUGAGUCAUCUUUUUAAAAUUUGUGAUAAACCUCAAAGCUCCAUGAUAUACAGUGUCAAGCAUGUGCAAGCUUUGAGCAGAGGCGUGCAUAUAUAAAACAUCACCGUAGUCCAGCACAGACAGAAAAGUAGCAGCAAACAGUUUUUUCUUUGCUUCAAAAGAAAGGCAGGAUCUAAGUCUCAUUCUUUAACUUUCCCUGAUGAAUUAGCUGACAGGUUUUUACUUCCUUUAUCCUAACUUUAAAUGUUCUUAUGCCUACAUGUAUAUAAAUGACCUAAUAACAACACAGAUGUCUGUCUCAAAGGUGCUGAUAAUUACUACAGUAAUAUCAAGGACAUGAUUGGCUACCGCCCUUCACCUUAUAUGAAAGUUUGUUGGAGGUACAUCAUUCCAUGUGUGUCUACAGGCAUACUGCUCUUCACUCUGGU